rnacentral:lncRNA from 1 species
UCUCAGUAAUCUAAACAACGGCCCUGCAAGGCUGUCCAGUGUUAUAAUCCCCAUUCAUACGAAGAGUUGAGGUUGCAGGAAGAGGAGUUUGACUCACAUCUCACACUUUGACUGCUACACUACAUCAGUCCUUGCACUCCAGAUCCUGAAAACAGCUCUGUGAGUUGUCAGAGGACUGCCCACCAUCCUAUUCAAAACAAGGCAGCAUGGGCAGUAAGCCCUCGUCAGCAACCAUUGCCAGAGAUGUCUGUAUGGGGAACGGUGGGCUGAGCAUAACACACGGAGGCAGCUCAGAGGCAUCCCUGCUGGUCGCUCGCUCCAAGGGAGGUGACAUCCUACCGCAGGCUCUUUCUGUGAGAAUGUUUAGGGAGGCAGGAGAGGAUAUAUUCUUUUAUGAUAUGCUUCCUAACUUGCGUUGGCAAGUUCUAUAACUUAGCAGAGUUGUUAAACAAUCCCUCUUUGAAAUUAUACAGCAGUUAGCUAGUUGCAGGCUCGUCUGAGCCUCACUAUUUAGGAUUCCUGGUAAGAUCCCUUUUUCUAUCCCUCCUAAAAGAAUAGACACGACUAUCUGAUUAAAGUUAACAUAAAACUAGUUGACUUACAAUCAUCCAGUUCACGAUAAGAUCCCUGAAGGCAGACUUAAGUUACAUAACUAGAUAUAUCGACAUGAACUAUCCCAUAAGGGAAAUAAUCUCAAGUGACUGCAACUGAGCAGUCACUUCUUCCUAACUUGUAGGAACACAAAAAGGAGAAGAAGAAGAGCAGAACAUGGAGGCCGUGUGCUCCUCUGUCCAAGAACAGGCCACACCUGCAUUAAGUGCCAUGCAGAGGAAGUCUGUCCCAGCUCAGGAGGAACUAGCAAGUCUUCUCCUGAGUGACACAAGCAUUCCCCAGCAUGUGCAUUGUAGGAAUGUUGCAUUUGACUGCAAUACAAUUUUACACCCCACACCUUCGCUACCCAAUAAUCAUUUGCAAGCGUACUUCUUCCAAGGCUCAGUAUUUAAGAUUCUGAGCUUGAAAAACAAAACCCCUGAGAUUGAGGCAUCACCAGAGAAGCUUCCUCAUGUGCAUCUCACACAACAUUCUCAUCUCCAGUUGGGAUCACCUGAGACCUCAGAAAGAAAUCAUUGUUUUGGGGGAGAGUGGCGUGGAACCAUGCCUGAGUCAAAAGAUUACAGAGCAAACACAGCGCCCUAUUCAUGUUUCAUACGAAGUUGGUUUGUUCCCAUGAAUUGUACCAGCGAGCUUCUUCACAGAAUUUCACAUCCCCUUAUAAAGUCAUGUCCAGCGAUACCUUCAUGCCCAAGCAGUCCCCUGUCUCAGUUGCAAGCAAUCCCCUGGCCAGCUACCACUGGACAUCCUGCACCUUGUUUUCUUUUGCAAACCUCCCAGCCUCAGCAGUUCAAAUUCCAGCCUACACAUGCACUUAUGCGCACACACUUGUCAGGAACAUGUUGUCUUUUAUCCAGACCAGAUAACUGUCAGCAUUUAAAGGUGUAGUAGAAAGAUGAUAGAGAACAGGAUGGAAGAUGUUUAAGGGUCAAUCCUAGGUACACUUGGAGUGCCAUCUUCCCCCCAUCUGCUCAGUCCCGUGCAGAAUAUACCCAGGGAAGUGGAGUCAGGGGUCAGGACUGCAACAUUAUUUAUGCGUUGGGAUUCGGCUGCAGAACUGCAGAGUUUACUAAGCACACUUGCUGGGGGAAAGUCUACACUAGCGUCCAUCUGGCAUACUUUUGGGCAAACAUAUACAGGGUUUUAUUGCACGGUCUUCAGUAGUUUAGCCCUAAACUGAGGACGCCAAGAAUUUUGGUUUGCUCCUUGGCGUAUUGAGCUCCAAAUUGCUGCUUGACUUCUCAUGAAGCAAAGCUGCCACAAAGAACACUUGUCUCAAGGAAGACGGAGCUCAUGCCCACCUAACAAUAUGCUUGCCCUGACGAAGCU